UUGGAGGGCAAGUCUGGUGCCAGCAGCCGCGGUAAUUCCAGCUCCAAUAGCGUAUAUUAAAGUUGUUGCAGUUAAAAAGCUCGUAGUUGAAUUUCGGGAUCAAUUUGUCGGUCGUGCCUCGGUACGUACUGGCAUUAUUGGUUUCUACCUUCUGAAGAACCUUGAUGUCAUUAAUUUGGUGUCUUGGGGAAUCAGGACUGUUACUUUGAAAAAAUUAGAGUGUUUAAAGCAGGCAUACGCUUGAAUACAUUAGCAUGGAAUAAUGAAAUAGGACGUUUGAUUCUAUUUUGUUGGUUUCUAGGAUCGACGUAAUGAUUAAUAGGGAUAGUUGGGGGCAUUAGUAUUCAAUUGUCAGAGGUGAAAUUCUUGGAUUUAUUGAAGACUAACUACUGCGAAAGCAUUUGCCAAGGAUGUUUUCAUUAAUCAAGAACGAAAGUUAGGGGAUCGAAGACGAUCAGAUACCGUCGUAGUCUUAACCAUAAACUAUGCCGACUAGGGAUCGGAUGAUGUUAAUUUUUAAUGACUCAUUCGGCGCCUUACGGGAAAC
rnacentral:rRNA from 2 species